rnacentral:rRNA from 1 species
GGUGCAUGGCCGUCGUCAGUUCGGUACUGUGAAGCAUCCUGUUAAGUCAGGCAACGAGCGAGACCCACGCCCACAGUUGCCAGCGUACUCUCUGGAGUGACGGGUACACUGUGGGGACCGCCGCUGCUAAAGCGGAGGAAGGAAUGGGCAACGGUAGGUCAGUAUGCCCCGAAUAUCCCGGGCUACACGCGAGCUACAAUGGUUGGUACAAUGGGUAUCUACCCCGAAAGGGGACGGGAAUCUCCUAAAACCAAUCUUAGUUCGGAUUGAGGGCUGCAACUCGCCCUCAUGAAGCUGGAAUCCGUAGUAAUCGCGUUUCAACAGAACGCGGUGAAUACGUCCCUGCUCCUU